rnacentral:rRNA from 1 species
GUAGGGAAUCUUCGGCAAUGGACGAAAGUCUGACCGAGCAACGCCGCGUGAGUGAAGAAGGUUUUCGGAUCGUAAAACUCUGUUGUUAGAGAAGAACGUUGCAUAGAGUGGAAAAUUAUGCAAGUGACGGUAUCUAACCAGAAAGGGACGGCUAACUACGUGCCAGCAGCCGCGGUAAUACGUAGGUCCCGAGCGUUGUCCGGAUUUAUUGGGCGUAAAGCGAGCGCAGGUGGUUUAAUAAGUCUGAUGUAAAAGGCAGUGGCUCAACCAUUGUGUGCAUUGGAAACUGUUAGACUUGAGUGCAGUAGAGGAGAGCGGAAUUCCAUGUGUAGCGGUGAAAUGCGUAGAUAUAUGGAGGAACACCGGUGGCGAAAGCGGCUCUCUGGACUGUCACUGACACUGAGGCUCGAAAGCGUGGGUAGCAAACAGGAUUAGAUACCCUGGUAGUCCACGCCGUAAACGAUGAGUGCUAGUUGU